rnacentral:rRNA from 1 species
UACGGAGGAUCCGAGCGUUAUCCGGAUUUAUUGGGUUUAAAGGGUGCGCAGGCGGGAGAUUAAGUCAGCGGUGAAAUCUGGACGCUCAACGUUCAAAUUGCCGUUGAGACUGGUUUUCUUGAGUGUGGUUGAAGUAGGCGGAAUUCGUUGUGUAGCGGUGAAAUGCAUAGAUAUAACGAGGAACUCCGAUUGCGUAGGCAGCUUACUAAGCCAUAACUGACGCUCAUGCACGAAAGUGUGGGUAUCGAACAGG